rnacentral:rRNA from 1 species
AGGGUGCAAGCGUUAAUCGGAAUUACUGGGCGUAAAGCGUGCGCAGGCGGUUUUGUAAGACAGUGGUGAAAUCCCCGGGCUCAACCUGGGAACUGCCAUUGUGACUGCAAGGCUAGAGUGCGGCAGAGGGGGAUGGAAUUCCGCGUGUAGCAGUGAAAUGCGUAGAUAUGCGGAGGAACACCGAUGGCGAAGGCAAUCCCCUGGGCCUGCACUGACGCUCAUGCACGAAAGCGUGGGGAGCAAACAGGAUUAGAUACCCUGGUAGUCAAGGGCG